AUGGCAUUGAUCCUCCGCCCUGCUGCUCAAGUCUUCUGUUCCCAAGCCCAUGUGCAGUACUCAGCCCCAGACAUCCCACUGCCCCAGGAGUAUACACAGUACCGCCUACCACACAAACACAAACUCACAGAAGGUGACAAAAUCUGCGGCCGAGAAGGUCCACCUCACCAGGAGUCACCUCGGCACAAGUCCUCAGCACGUCCUCAGUGCCCACACGGACUCUGUCAGCUCCUCCCCGACCUGGCGGCCGCCAACCUGACACCACUCCCUCUGCAGGCAGCUCCUGCCCCACACACCCUGCUCCUUACCGCUGGGAUCCAGCAUCACUUUUUAAUCUUCUGGAACCUGCCACACUGCCCAGUAGUGAUUGAAGCCCAGCCAGCCAAAGUUUCCGAGGGGAAAGGAUGUUCUUCUACUUGUCCACAAUUUGCCCAGAAUCUAGCUGCCUGCAUCUGGUACAAAGGGCAAAUAAUGGACCUCCAACAUUACAUUACAGCAUAUAUAAAGAUGCAAACAAUUAUAUUUGGGCCUGCAUACAGUGGACGAGAAACAGUAUAUUCCAAUGCAUCCCUGCUGAUCCAGAAUGUCACCCAGAAGGACACAGGAUCCUACACCAUACAAAUCAUAAAGCGAGGUGAUAAGACUAAAGGAGUAACUGGACAUUUCACCUUAUACGUGGAGACUCCCAAGCCCUCCAUUUCCAGCAGCAACUUAAACCCCAGGGAGGCCGUGGAGACUGUCAUCUUAUCCUGUGAUCCUGACACUCAGGACGUAAGCUACCUGUGGUGGAUAAACAGUCAGAGCCUCCCUAUCAGUCUAGGGUGCAGCUGUCCAACCAACAGGACCCUCAUUAUGUUACAGAUGUCUAAGCGAUACAGAACCCUCUGAAUGUGAAAUAGAACCCAGUGAGUUCCAUGCAGUGACCCAGUCACCCUGAAUCUCCUCCGCGAGCUGCCCAAGCCUACAUCACCAUAACAACUUCAACCCCAUGGAGAAUAAGAAUGCUGUAGCCUUAACAUGUGAACCUAAGACUCAAAACUACACCUACGUUUGGUGGGUAAAUGGUCAGAGCGUCAGUCACUCCCAGGCUAAAGCAACCCGGUGAAAACAGGAUCCUCAUUCUCGCCAAUGUCUCUGAAAUGACACAGGAUCCUACGAAUGUGAAAUACAGGAUCGAGUUGGUAGCAUUCGCAGUGACCCAGUCACCCUGGAUGUCCUCUAUGGUCCAGGCGUCCCCAGGAUUAUCCCUCAUUCACCUAUUACCAUUCAGGAAAACCUCUCGCCUUGUCAUAGCCCAUGGACUCUAACCCACCGGCAGAGUAUGCUUGGACGAUUAAUAGGAAGUUUCUUCAAUUAGGACAAAGCUCUAUAUCCCCCAUAUUACUACAAAGCAUAGCGGGCUCUAUAGUUGCUCUGCUCAUAACUCCAGCCACUGGCAGGAAAUUUCCACAUUCAAGAAAAUCAAAGUCUCUAAGUAAGUGGAUCCCACAUCAUGGGCAAUAGGGUUUUAGGUGGAGUCUAUCUGGC